UGUUUGUUUGUAGCCAGUAGAGGGCAGUAGUGAGCUGAGGAGUCUCCUGCUGAUGAGUCCUGCUGAUCUACAAACUGAACUCAAGAGACAUGAGAAUCUGUGUGCUAAAAUUGCAUCUUGUGCACAUAGAGCAGACACAAACAAGGGCCAUUUCCAAGGGAUGAAACAGACUGGCAGCUCUUAUGAAUUUCUGAAGGCAAUCUUAAGCCACUGAGGGAUAAUUUCUCGAUGUACGACAUGGGCGGCAGCUGGUGCCCGCUCAAGGUGGAUCACGUAACUCUCUCUUUAUCACUUCUAGAGGCUGUCUCAAGGACAAAAGCUUAAGCUGACCUAACAAAACACACACUUGUCACACACUUUGCAUUGCUACAGUUGAGAAGAACAAGAACAGCGUUUCAAAAUUCAGCAAUUUGGUCUGUUCGCCAUGGACUGUUAAGCUUCUUAAGAGUUUCAAGAUGUGUAACCAAGUACGGC
rnacentral:lncRNA from 1 species